UACGUAGGGUGCGAGCGUUAAUCGGAUUUACUGGGCGUAAAGCGCGCGUAGGCGGUAUGAUAAGUUGGAUGUGAAAGCCCCGGGCUCAACCUGGGAAUUGCAUCCAAAACUGUCUGGCUAGAGUAUGGCAGAGGGUGGUGGAAUUUCCUGUGUAGCGGUGAAAUGCGUAGAUAUAGGAAGGAACACCAGUGGCGAAGGCGACCACCUGGGCUAAUACUGACACUGAGGUGCGAAAGCGUGGGGAGCAAACAGG
rnacentral:rRNA from 1 species